rnacentral:rRNA from 1 species
UACGUAGGGCGCAAGCGUUAUCCGGAAUUAUUGGGCGUAAAGAGCUCGUAGGCGGCUCUGUAAGUCGGGUGUGAAACCUCCAGGCUCAACCUGGAGACGCCACCCGAUACUGCUGUGGCUUGAGUCCGGUAGGGGAGCGUGGAAUUCCUGGUGUAGCGGUGAAAUGCGCAGAUAUCGGGAGGAACACCUAUGGCGAAGGCAGCUCGCUGGGACGUUACUGACGCUGAGACGCGAAAGCGUGGGGAGCAAACAGG